rnacentral:lncRNA from 1 species
CAGACGAUUGUAGGUUAAUUAAUUGUAACAACAGCUCUAUGCCUCUGCCUAUUCUUACGCUCUGACUUUUGAAGUACAAACCGAUGAAAAGGUAAGUUUAAAAGUCACCUGGAGCCUUUUCUAAUUUAGAUUUUUUUUCUACAAGUUAUGAUGUAUCAGACUCCAUUAAUCUCUUUGUUCAAGAGAAGCAUGCAACGGUACACAUAACAGAGCAACCACAAGUUUUAUGUUCCAGGACUUGUUAAGUGUAUUUUCAAAUAUAUGAUGCAUGUGAACUUGUUUAAGUCAGCACAAAGCUCCAUAUGAUAGCAGUUAUUUGUUCCUAAGUGAGAAAAUACAUUAACGUGUUUGCCUAACUUACCAUGCAUGGAAGCUACUAAUUUACCUACUGUACAAAUCCCUUUAUGUUAUCAGGUUCAUAAGCUAAACAGAACAUUAUAUUACAUGAUCCUAGAGUGCAAGAUAUACAAACUGAGGCCAGUCUUGAUUUUAGCCUACUGCUGUGAUAAUUCUAGAGCUUUUAUUUCUAAGAAAAGGAUAUGAUAAGAACAGAUGUUACUAAGUUGUUACGUAAAAAGCUGGUGCUAAGAUAUCUUGGUUGGUAGCUUGCACUUUAAAUUCGCCCAGAACUUAUUUAUUAUCCAAAGUGGUAUACUGAACUGCUCGUCUUUCCUUCAUUGCUCACAGAAAGAUGAAGAUUGUGCAAUUUAUUUUAGCUAGAACUGGCAGGAACUAUCUUCAGGAUGUGGAGUUAUGGAUGCGAAGAGAAACUGUUUAUUCUUGGUUUUAGUGAAUGAAGGUUGAACAUAUUAGUCUAGAUGCUCAUGUGAUGAGCUUAGCUUUUUGUUUUCUGCAAUGAUGCUUCGAUUUGUUUCUUUGUACAGUGCACAUGUUCUUGUUAAAAACAUGUGUACAAGUUGAAGGUAGAAUUUGUAAUCAUCAGUUCAUUCUGAUGGGCAAUACUUAGAACAAAGCACAUAAAUAUAGAUAUCAUGUAUUCUUCGGAUGGUGUCCUUUGUAAAGCAACAUUGUUGGUUUAAUAUAUGAGGCCUUUA